CAAAUACACAAGGAUGCACUCACCUGUCCCAGGUGAUCGCUGCUGUCUCCCACGGGUGAAAUUGCUGGGGCUUUUCAACACAUGUGUUGCUGGCUCGUUCACCAAGGCAGGACGUGCUGUGUAGACAAAACCUCACACGUUAUUGGUGCCAUCAGCUACAAGCAAGCUCUGGACACUGCCUGCAAUGCACUGUGUGCCAAUUGCACAGCUGAUCUGCUGCAAUACCCUGUCCUGUUCCCAUCAGGAGGAGGAUCAGGCAAAGGGAAAGACCUGCCUAAGAAGGAGGUUUCUCAAAAAGCCUAAAUACCUAUUAUAUCCAUUCUCUUUGGAAAAGGUAGUUUUCUAAUGCAGUUGAAAGGAUCAGUCUGGCAUUCAUAGGUAGCCUUUAUUAAAUACAUUGAUGCCCUCCAUGUCCCUUGCUUCCUCUCCACACAGUUCCUCUUUCAUUUUCUAAUAAACUGUUG
rnacentral:lncRNA from 1 species